rfam:Schistosoma rodhaini strain Burundi genome assembly, scaffold: SROB_scaffold0001271
AUCCAGUUGACGAGUCCCAAAUAGGACGAAACGUGCGUCCUCAAU